rnacentral:rRNA from 2 species
GGGUUGUGAGGUUAAGCGACUAAGCGUACACGGUGGAUGCCCUGGCAGUCAGAGGCGAUGAAGGGCGUGCUAAUCUGCGAUAAGCGCCGGUAAGGUGAUAUGAACCGUUAUAACCGGCGAUACCCGAAUGGGGAAACCCAGUGUGAUUCGUCACACUAUCAUUAACUGAAUCCAUAGGUUAAUGAGGCGAACCGGGGGAACUGAAACAUCUAAGUACCCCGAGGAAAAGAAAUCAACCGAGAUUCCCCCAGUAGCGGCGAGCGAACGGGGAGGAGCCCAGAGCCUGAAUCAGCAUGUGUGUUAGUGGAAGCGUCUGGAAAGGCGCGCGAUACAGGGUGACAGCCCCGUACACAAAAGCGCAUGUGCUGUGAGCUCGAUGAGUAGGGCGGGACACGUGGUAUCCUGUCUGAAUAUGGGGGGACCAUCCUCCAAGGCUAAAUACUCCUGACUGACCGAUAGUGAACCAGUACCGUGAGGGAAAGGCGAAAAGAACCCCGGCGAGGGGAGUGAAAAAGAACCUGAAACCGUGUACGU